GUGAGGGCUAUAUCCAGCUGCAACAUCUGUCACCCCAUUCAUCGCCAGGGUUAAUUUGACUUAUCUGGCUGGCUGGGUGGGUGUCCCCUUCCUCCCUCAUUGUGCCAUGUGCAUCCCUCCUGAACCUGCGAGCUUGGUCAAAGAGGAUGACCUUCCCUGCUAGAAGAGGACCUGUUCUUUGGUCAAGGUUAUACCAGUAGCUGUGCUCCCCUACUAGAACCUCCAAACAAGCUCUCUAGGACCAUUUAUUUUUAAGUGUUUGCCUGGUAUGUCCCAAGUCUGG
rnacentral:snRNA from 1 species